rnacentral:lncRNA from 1 species
GUUUGAGUAUCUGGGGGGAACAAUGACUGGGUAUGGCAGCGGUGCCGAAGAGAUUUCAGGUAGAUGUGAAUGCAUGAAGGAGGGUGGAGGGAGUAAUGGCAGUCAGAAAGGCAUCAAGGAAAUUGAAAGGGAAGGUUCUGAUGUCAUGUGUAACACUGGGCAACCUUUAUGGUCUCGAAAUGGUGGCACUGUCAGAGAGACAACAACAGAGGUUGCAGGUCUACGAGAACAAAUGGGUCAGGAGGAUUGCAAGAGUGGGUUGGAGCAGGAUGCAUGAACUGAGGGAGGAGAUUGGUGUGCAGAUGAGCUUGACGGGGAGAUUGGUAAAAAGCCGGCUGAAGUGGGCUGGACACUUGGUGUGGAUGGGGGAAGAGAGAAUGUCAAAGAUAGCCGAUAGGUCGAGGGAACAAGUUAGAAGAAGAAGAGGUAGACAGUGGUUGAGAUGGGAAGAUUGUGUGAGGGGCAAUAUCCGUGAGUUCUUAUCAUGUUCAGUCAUUCUAGCAAUGCCCCAAGGUUUGACACCUUCACCAAGCAAAGAUCGGAUGACUCUCACUGCUCUACAACGGUGCACUCUUGUGGAGGGACAGCCAUCUCACACAGGGAAGUCGGGGGCUGAACGCGCUGAUGCUGGUGCACAAGCGGUGCCGGGAGAAGGAGUACGAGUGCCAUUUUGCCAUGCUGCAGGCUCGAGCUGGG